CUCAUUCAAAAAAAUCACCAUUCAAAAAAAUCACAUUUGAGCAAUUAGAUGCAAUUGGAGUUCAAAGGAGUGAAAUAUAAAUAUUUUCACUUUAAUAAUUGAAUUUACAAUAGGCAACCAUUGAAAAACAAGUAUUUGUUUGGUACGGAAUGGAAGAAAAACUCCAAAACAUCAAUACUUUUGAUCCACAACCGCAAAACACCACCCAAAUCGAUGAUAAGACACUCCCAACAACAUCCAAAUUUGAUUUUCAGCAACAAACAAUAGUUUCAGCUUUUGGAUUGGAUUCAAACCCCACCCCCCCCCAAAAAAAAAGGGUACACACCCCAAUGCCUCCAUUUCGACCACUUCCAGUCAGAUUUUGGCAAUGAUACCACCGCCAAUGAACUCGAAAGGCCCAAAAACCCUUGGGUGGUGAUCGGCCAGAUUGUCGAAAAAUCAAGAAAUUCGGCCUCUACAGACCUCGCCUGGGGAAAUGUGCCUGAACAAGAAUUAUUUUUUUAUUUAAAAAAAAAAAAAAAAAAAAAAAAAAAAAAAACCCAACAUUGACUGAUGCAAAACUCAAUACUACAUGGUAUCAACUUGGUUGAGCCAAAUGUAAGUUCUCUGAAUUUGAACUUCAAUACUACAUCAAAUGCUAACAAUUUAUCCUUAAAUCCCGAUCCCAGAGUGUUUCUGAAAGAGUAUUGAUGUGAUCCAUGGUGCACUAGAAAUUUUCGAGAACUUGGCACAUGUUGAUGAGCGAUCAAGACCAAGUUCUGAGCUAAGUUGGGGGCUGAUCUGGAUUGAUAAAGCCAGACGAUGUCAUGGUCAAGCUAUGAAUUUCAAAAUGGAAGAAAAAUUGGGCCAGAUUUUUCCAAUUCUCGCAAGUGUUUUAUUUUGGUUAGAAUUUCAUUUUUUUUUUUGGUAAUCUUAUUAUUCUAGGACUCUUAAUUUUCAUCUUUUCCAUAUUUUCUAGGUUUUAGCUUUAGCAUAAAUAGCUUUUAAUUUUCAUUGUAACACUAAGACUUUGAUGAAUUGAUUAACGGAGAUUUUCUCUUUCAAGGCGUGAUGCUUCAAAAAUUAUCGAACUUAUCGGGAUCAUUUUCUUGUGGCGUUCAACAAAACCGGGUGAGAUUUGUAAUCCUUGUAAUUAAGAGGUCGUUAAUUUAAUAUAUUAAUGGUUGCUUAAUUCAUUGCUUGCGUGUUAAAUUCAAAACCAUCGAUUAUUGGCAUUCUUGGGAAUUGUGGCAAUCUAGUUGUGGGUUCGUGAGUGUUCGUUGCUCACGGGUUCGUAUCAGUUGGUAUCAAAGAUUAGGCUCCAAAAAUCAAAGGUUAUAUCCUUUUUUUUAAUUCUUAUUGAGUUAGUUUUUAUUUUUCAUUAUUGUUUUUGGUUUUCUUUGAGUCAGUCAGUAAUUUUAGAGUCUUUUGAUUCAUAAAAAUCACAAAAAAAAAUUUAAAUCUUGUUUUUUGGCUAAUCUAACGUCCAAAUCCUAUUCCAUUUGUUCCGUUAGUGUCAUAGUCGAAUUUUCUAUCUAGUGAGUCAAAAAAAAAAAAAAAUUUACUGUUCAGAAGUCAGAAAAUUAAAAAAUUAAAUUCAUUGUUUGAAUUAUCUUUAUAUUCCUUCUAGUUUCAAGCUAUUCAAUCCAGCCAGUCAGAGAUUCAAGACCACUUCUUGAAUUUUCAUACCUUUUUCCAAAGUUUCUGUCCAAUUCUUUGAGUCUUUAAAAAUUCCCGAGUCUCACCCACAACCCAAUUGAAAACCAAUCAAUAUGUCUGAAAGGAUGAUGCGACAAUUUGAGAAAAUGUUGGUGGAUAUGGUAAAUAGAUUGGAAACUAAGUUAGACAGACUGGAUGUGAAAUUGAAAAAUAUUCAUAGGGAUGAAUGUGAUGGGGUGUUCAAUGUGAGGAGAUGAGAACCUAGGAUGAGAAAUUGUGAUGCAUUUGGGGAUGGUUAUGAUAUUGAUGGAGUACGAGGAUGGAGAAAUAAUUUUGAUGGGUUUGAAAGAAGGCGUAGGAUUGAUCAACGUGAACGGGAUCCUAGAGAGAUACUUAGGAGAUGUUAUGGGGAUGAGUAUUCAAUGGAAAAGAAAAUUCCUUUUACGAAAUUUGCAGGUAGUACACCAAGCAAGAGGACGGGGUUGGAUUAUAGGCGGGAAUUGGUGGAGAUUCGUGACUUGAUAAAUUCUUAAAAUAAUCAUCCGAAGGUGCAAGAGAGUAAAAGUAAAAAAUGUGAGGUGGUUAUUUGUGAGAAAAAAAAAGAAGAUGAGCCACAAGAGAGUGAAAAGAAAGUCGAGGGUGGAAUUGAAAAGGGCGAAGUGGUCAAAAUAGAGGUGGAGUCACGAGAGAAAGAUGAAGAAGAGUCUUUGGAGAUGACCAAGGAAUUGGAAGUGAACUUAAUCGAAAAUGAGAGUGGUGUUGAAGGGGAAUUGGCAAUAACUAAUAAUUUCCUCCCUAUUUUGGACAUUCCAUUUUUGCAGGUUAUUGGAGACUUAGUCCAUGAAGACGAGCCAAUUGGGAUCCCUUACAACCUACAUUGAUAAUCAAUUCAUGGAUAACACUCAACAACAUCUUGGUUUGGAUUUCUCUUAUUUUCCAUUGGUUUAAUUUAUAAUUCCUGAGGAGACGAAGAAGUAUCAAUGGUGUUGGAAUGAAGUCACAUGCAUUGGAUUGAAUGGCAAGGAGUUCAUAUGCAAGGGGUUGGACUACAAAAUUGAUGUGCCAGGGAAUAUGCAUCCAAUUGAAAUAUCAUUGCUAAAAUUGCCCAGGCGAGAGAUGACAUGGAAAAUGCACAACGACUUAUCAAUUGAAAUAAUUCAUGGAGCAUUUCAAAGUUGCAAAAGUAUGCGGUCACGGCGUGAGCACUUGAUCUUUGUGAAGGAGAUUGGGUUUUUAAAUGCAAGGGGAGGAUCCGAGUUCAAAAGAGCUCUAAGUUUCAUCCAAGAUGUGACGGGCCAUUUCAUGUGAUUGCCAUGAUUGGGAAUAAAAGGUAUAUUUUGUUCGAUCAAGAUUUGGAUUUGAGGUCGAAUCCUUUCAAAGACAGAGGGAAUGCUAUGAUCCAAGGUGCACUAGAAAUUUUCGAGAACUUGGCGCAUGUUGAUGAGCGAUCGGGAUCAAGUUUUGAGCUAAGUUGGGGGCUAAUCUUGAUUGAUAAAGCUAGAUGAUGUCAUGGUCAAGCUAUGAAUUUUAAAAUAGAAGAAAAAUUGGGCCAGAUUUUUACAAUUCUUGCGAGUCUUUUAUUUUGGUUAGAAUUUCUUAUCUUUGGCAAUCUUAUUAUUCUAGGACUUUUAAUUUUUAUCUUUUCCAUAUUUUCUAGGUUUUAGCUUUAGUAUAAAUAGCUUUUAAUAUUCAUUGUAACAUUAAGACUUUGAUGAAUUUUUCGAGACAUGAUGCUUCAAAAUUACCGAACUUAUCGGGAUGAUUUUCUCAUGACGUUCAACAAACCCAAGUGAGAUUCGUAAUCCUUGUAAUUAAGAGGUCGUUAAUUUAAUAUAUUAAUGGUUGCUUAAUUCAUUGCUUGCGUGUUAAAUCCAAAACCGUCGAUUAUUAGCGUUCUUGGGAACUGUGGCAAUCUAGUUAUGGGUUCGUGAGUGUUCGUUGCUCAUGGGCUCACAAUUAAUAUAUUAUAUUAACGACCUCUUAAUUACAAGGACUACGAAUCUCACCCAGGUUUGUUGAACGCUACGAGAAAAUCAUCACGAUAAGCUCGAUAAUUUUUGAAGCAUCACGCCUCGAAAGAGAAAAUCUCCAUUAAUCAAUCCAUCAAAGUCUUAAUGUUACAAUGAAUAUUAAAAGCUAUUUAUACUAAAGCUAAAACCUAGAAAAUAUGGAAAAGACGAAAAUUAAGAGUCCUAGAAUAAUAAGAUUACCAAAAACAAGAAAUUCUAACCAAAAUAAAACACUCGCGAGAAUUUGAAAAAUCUGGCCCGAUUUUUCUUCCAUUUUGAAAUUCAUAGCUUGACCAUGACAUCUUCUAGCUUUAUCAAUCCAGAUCAGCCCCCAACUUAGCUCAAAACUUGGUCUCGAUCGCUCGUCAACAUGCGCCAAGUUCUUGAAAAUUUCUAGUGCACCUUGGAUCACAUCAAGUAUGCUAUGCUCAGUUGUCUCGGAUUCUAAACUGUAUUACCAGCAAGAUUGGCUACUUAUUUGGCCACAUCAUUCAUAUAUGUUACGGUUGGGCAAUGAUCAAGAACAUGGAAUUGGUCAUUCCUGUACUUCUCUAAUCUUUGAUCACUAACAGAAUUUUAUGUCUAUUAUGGUCGAAUCAAGUGUCAACAAAUUAACCUUAUUAAAGGUCAUAAUCAAACUUAAAAAUUGAAACAAUGCUAGCAUAUAUGGUACGCUCAAUUUCAAGGACCUAACCUGAAACAUGUAGCACAAACCUGGAUAAAAAUUUAGAAACACGGAGGAAGAAAAGAGAUUUUACUCUUUUUUUUUUUAAUCAUCCGAGCCUUAUUCAAUACAAUGUACAACUGCUAUGAAAUCCUCUUUUAUUCAACAUAAUAUUUGCGCUUAUGCAACCAUGUGAGUUUACAUUUACUCCCAAAGAGUUUCAAUUAAUAGGUGUAGUGCCGAAAAUGAGAUAUUGUGAAUUAAAUGCAAUAAAAAUAUUAUUAAAGUAGGCUGAUUUAUUAAUAUUUAUAGGAAAACGAAAAAUAAACUAAUAGAAAAAUCAAUUAAUUAAGCAUAUUGUUGGAUAUAUUUGGUCAAAAAUAAAAAAGAAGAGUUUGGUAUUCCUUGGAAACAUCCAUAAUCAAUCUGAACAUGACAUAGUUCCUCUGAUAGUUUCCUUGAACGAGUAAUUAAAGGCAAAUGACAGUAUAUAGCAACAACAGUAAUAUAUGUGUUAUGGAUAGAUGUGAGAUAUAUGGUAAAUAAUUAAACUAUAGUCAAGUUAAAAAUAGCAUGUGUAGAAGAUAUAAAACAAAAGUACGUUUAUAGUUGUGUUGCCAAGUAGUCAAUUUAAUGUUCAAAGAAUUUAUUUGGAUUGAAAAUGAAAAGAAUCAUCAACUUUUUUCAUAAUAUUUCUUCUUGAAAAAACUCUAUUACCAAAGGACCUACCCAGAAGAGCUCUAUUCAUAAUAGUUAUGUCAAAACGGACUCUUAGUUCUUUCAUUUCUAUGACUAUUAGAACCCCAAUAUAGCUUUAAAGAAUUCAAUAAUCAAUAUUUCUACUUGAGAUCUUUGAAAAAUGGGAUAAAUAGAUUUGAGUUUUUAGUCGGGAGUGAUCCAUAUUAAUGAGUUGGAAUCAAUUAUCAAUAGAGGAGAGCAACAUGCCACCAAUGGUUGUUAUGGUGAACUUGGUGCUACAUGCACAGAUAGCUUAGUGAGAAAGGAAAAUGAGAAUAGGUAUAUAAACAAGGACAUAAGCAAAUAUUUUAGACACGAAUGGUUUUAUUUGUACAAGUUUCUUCGAUAUCAUCGAAAAGAAAUACACUUAUUCUUGGUAAAGGAUUUUCUUAUCCCACAGUACCCAACGAGGCAAAAUAGAGAUAAUAUUACUCAGCGGUACAGAAUCCAGGAUGAUGCUGGUUUGCCUAUUUGUCUGAUUAGUUAAACAAGAAAAUGACUCUGGCUGAUAUUUCAGUGAUAUGUUCCAGGAGUAAUUAAUCAGCUAUUUUUUGGCCAUAGUUUUCUAACGAUAAGAGGGGAAGAUGCAGUCUAAAUGUAUUAGAAAGGAACAAGAAUGCCAAACCUUCGGAAACAUGAGCUAGGAGCUUUUUCCUGAUUGCUUCUCAUGAUCUCUCCAGGGAUUUAGAGCUUCUCUAACAGCCUGAACUUCGGGAAAAUUCUCCCAAGCCCUCUUCUCCGACUCAAGAACUGUCUCUUUAUCAUCUGCUCAAAUCCAAAUAUAAAGGCAAAUGAGGAUAUAAACCAGAGUUAUAAUACUCUCUAAAAACCAAAAAAUGAAUACGAACGUGACAAAAGAAGCAUAUCGCGAUUACAGAAAUUUAAGAUGAUUAAAAUGAUAAUGUAAGCUCAUGAUGAAACUGUAUAUGGCGAGGAUGACUACCAUAGGAAAGCCCGCCCCUCCUAGAGACUCAUUGAUGUGAACCCAGCUAGCAAGAUUGCUAUCUAACCCACAGAUAUUUACACCAGAUCCCAAGAAUGUCCAAAUACGACCAAGGUUUAAUUUAGGAAUCGACCCUAAAUGAUGAACCAAGCAACCAAACAUAUAUGAAAC
rnacentral:lncRNA from 1 species